GACGAACGCUGGCGGCGUGCCUAAUACAUGCAAGUAGGACGCAGUUGCGACCGGGUGAGUAAAGCGUGGGUAACUACCUAUUAGAGGGGGAUAAAUAAUGGAAACGAUAGCUAAUACCGCAUACUAGUAGAUGGACCUGCGUUGUAUUAGCUAGUAGGUAGGGUAAUGGCCUAACUAGGAAACGAUACAUAGCCGACCUGCAUGGGUAAUCGGCCACACUGGAACAGAGACACGGCCCAGACUCCUACGGUAGGAAGCAGUAGGGAAACUGCGGCAAUGGGGGGAACCCUGACCGAGCAACGCCGCGUGAGUGGAGAAGGUUGUCGGAUCGUAAAGCUCUGUUGUUAAGGAAGCGGUACUUAACCAGAAAAGGACAGCUAACUACGUGCCAGCAGCCGCGGUAAUAC
rnacentral:rRNA from 1 species